CUCUGAUCAGCCAUGCCGCGUGCAGGAAGACUGCCCUAUGGGUUGUAAACUGCUUUUAUACAGGAAGAAACGUACUUACGUGUAAGUAGACUGACGGUACUGUAAGAAUAAGGAUCGGCUAACUCCGUGCCAGCAGCCGCGGUAAUACGGAAGGAUCCAAGCGUUAUCCGGAAUCAUUGGGUUUAAAGGGUCCGUAGGUGGAUUWKUAAGUCAGAGGUGAAAUCGAMUKCAGCUUAACUKUAGAACUGCCUUUGAUACUGAUAGACUUGAGUUAUUGUGAAGUAGUUAGAAUGUGUAGUGUAGCGGUGAAAUGCAUAGAUAUWRCAUCWGAAUACCGAUUCCGAAGGCGAAGGCAGAUUACUAACAAUAUAMUGACACUGAYGGACGAAAGCGUGGGUCAGCGAACAGGAUUAGAUACCCUGGUAGUCCACGCCGUAAACGAUGGUCACUAGCWGUUUGACUAACAAUGUUUAUUUGAGUGGCUAAGCGAAAGUGAUAAGUGACCCACCUGGGGAGUACGUCGCAAGAG
rnacentral:rRNA from 1 species